GGUGCUGUGGCAUAGUGGGUUAAUGCCCUGGCCUGUAGUGCCGGCAUCCCAUGUGGGUGCCAGUUUGAGUUCUGGCUGCUCCA
rnacentral:tRNA from 1 species